rnacentral:rRNA from 1 species
CUUGUUGGUGGGGUAAUGGCCUACCAAGGCUACGACGGGUAGCUGGUCUGAGAGGAUGGCCAGCCACAUUGGGACUGAGAUACGGCCCAGACUCCUACGGGAGGCAGCAGUGGGGAAUAUUGCGCAAUGGGCGAAAGCCUGACGCAGCGACGCCGCGUGGGGGAUGAAGCAUUUCGGUGUG